rnacentral:rRNA from 1 species
GUAGGUGGCAAGCGUUGUUCGGAAUUACUGGGCGUAAAGGGCGCGUAGGCGGUUUGCUAAGUCAGUUGUGAAAGCCCGGGGCUCAACCCCGGAGGGUCGACUGAUACUGGCGAACUAGAGUACGGAAGAGGUAGCUGGAAUUCCUGGUGUAGCGGUGAAAUGCGUAGAUAUCAGGAGGAACACCUGAGGCGAAGGCGGGCUACUGGGCCGAUACUGACGCUGAGGCGCGAAAGCCAGGGGAGCGAACGGGAUUAGAUACCCCGGUAGUCCUGGCCCUAAACGAUGGACACUUGGUGUGUCGGGUAUUCAAGUCCCGGCGUGCCGGAGCUAACGCGUUAAGUGUCCCGCCUGGGGAGUACGGUCGCAAGGCUGAA